UGGGGAUGUGGCUCAGUGGUAGAGCACUUGCCUACCAUGCACAGGCCCUGGGUUCAAUCCCCAGCAUUGCAA